rnacentral:lncRNA from 1 species
CGGGUGGCCCCUGCCCGGCUCGGUCCGGAUUGCCCGCCGAGGUGCCCCCCUGCCGCAGCCUGGCUGCUCCAUGGAGUGUGAGGACCAGUUGUCUGGGUCGAGACCGUGGGUGGCCCUGCAGUGACAGGCUGUCUCUGCCACCUGCCUGUUCUUGCCGCAGAGGCCGGCUUCAGGGAUGGAGGGAGUGGGCGGGAGAGGACGGGUGUCCCAGGCGGGGCUCAGGGCGUUGGUGGCCUGCUACCCUGCCCCCAGCCUGUGCAGCUGGCCAGGCCGGGGAGUGACCACUGGUGUGAGCUGGUGCCGCCUGCCCUGACUCUGCCCUCCUGUCCCGGUGCCUCCUCACAUCCGCCCUGCAUGGCCCAGUCCAGUGAGCCCGCGCUGGAGGGUCUCGAUGACCCUGCGUCAUGUGGAUGGACCACGUUUUGUUCAUCGCUCCGACAUGGACAGAUGACCUGAGCAGCUUCCCCGUCUUGGCCGCCGCAUCGGGGCGCAUCCCACGGAUGUUUGAUGGCCGUGCUGCUGCGGCUCUCUUCCCCU